ACAAAUUGAAUUUGUUCAUCUAUUUUGAAAAAAUACCUAGUGAAAAGGGGAUUCUUUAUUUGAGAGUGAGAUGAUUUAUUCUUAACCAUUAGAUUAUCAUGUACAACUCAGACUCAUUUGGCUUUUAGGUGAGUCAUGUGGCAAUUAUUUUAUCACAAACAAAUUGUUUUGUUUUGACCUUUUCAUCAUUUUCCUUGCGAUUUUUUUAUAACACCAAAGUUUAUCUAUGUUAUCUCCAUCCCCAUCUCAUAUAUCUAGCACCAAUGGACUCUACAUGCGCAACACCUCCUUGCAUAUAUGGUGUUUCACCAUCUCAUCAGUCGUCGACUCGCCAUCUCUCAUGUCUCUUGCAUCGACCAUUUGUGCUCCUUUUCUAUGUCUUAUUGCUACCAUCUUUGCUUACAUAUUUCUCUUUAUGUGGGCUAUAAAUUGAUUUUGAUUUAGUGAUUUCAUUCCUUGUAGCCUUGUUUCAAAACUACUUGUUUGUGAAGCGAAUAAAAUUGUCACAAGAAAGAGGAGUUUGAAUUGUGGUCUUUUUUUUUUUUAAUUUGCACUUUAAAUAAUCUUUCUCAAGAUAAGGCUUGGAAUUAUAUGAUUAGAAUAAUGAAUCUAUUCUUGUUUGAGGAAGUUCAAGAACAAAUUUUAAUCUCAAAGUGAUAGUAGUGUGAUUUAGCUAAAUAAUUAAAUAUUAAAGAGAUAAGAAUAAGAAAAUCGCACACAAGAACUAUCUUGGUUCACCCAACAUGGGCUAAUCUAGUUCUCACACCUUGUUAGGUUUUCACUAGAAAGUUGAAAAGAGAUUCACCAUUGUUUUCAUCACAAUUCAUCACCGAAAUUUUUAGUAGACGUAAAGGAUUGAUAUAACUUUUGAACACAUGUACUAAGGUGUUAGAAUAAGUUACUUGAAUAUUGUG
rnacentral:lncRNA from 1 species